UGACGGUACCUUGAUAAGAAGCACCGGCUAACUACGUGCCAGCAGCCGCGGUAAUACGUAGGGUGCGAGCGUUAAUCGGAAUUACUGGGCGUAAAGCGUGCGCAGGCUGUUUUGUAAGUCAGAUGUGAAAUCCCCGAGCUCAACUUGGGAACUGCGUUUGAAACUACAAGACUAGAAUAUGUCAGAGGGGGGUAGAAUUCCACGUGUAGCAGUGAAAUGCGUAGAGAUGUGGAGGAAUAUCAAUGGCGAAGGCAGCCCCCUGGGAUAAUAUUGACGCUCAUGCACGAAAGCGUGGGGAGCAAACAGGAUUAGAUACCCUGGUAGUCCACGCCCUAAACGAUGUCAACUAGUUGUUGGUAGAGUAAAAUCUAUGAGUAACGCAGCUAACGCGUGAAGUUGACCGCCUGGGGAGUACGAUCGCAAGAUUAAAACUCAAAUGAAUUGACGG
rnacentral:rRNA from 1 species